rnacentral:rRNA from 1 species
UACGUAGGGGACUAGCGUUGUCCGGAUUUAUUGGGCGUAAAGAGCGUGUAGGCGGCCAGGUAGGUCUGCUGUGAAAACUCGAGGCUUAACCUCGAGCUGUCGGCGGAAACCAUCUGGCUAGAGUCCGGAAGAGGAGAAUGGAAUUCCCGGUGUAGCGGUGAAAUGCGCAGAUAUCGGGAAGAACACCCGUGGCGAAGGCGGUUCUCUGGGACGGUACUGACGCUGAGACGCGAAAGCGUGGGGAGCGAACAGG